rnacentral:rRNA from 1 species
AACGAACGCUGGCGGCGCGCCUAAAACAUGCAAGUCGAACGAGAAAGUGGGCAACCAUGAGUACAGUGGCGCACGGGUGAGUAAUACGUGGAUAACCUACCUCUGAGACGGGGAUAACGUUCCGAAAGGAACGCUAAUACCGGAUGAUGUCAAAAGGUCAGUGGAGGCCUUUGGAUUAAAACAUUGUAAGGUGGCUUAGAGAGGGGUCUGCGUCCCAUUAGCUAGUUGGUGAGGUAAAAGCUUAUCCAAGGCCGAGAUGGGUAGCUGGUCUGAGAGGAUGAUCAGCCACACUGGAACUGAAACACGGUCCAGACUCCUACGGGAGGCAGCAGUUGGGAAUCUUGCGCAAUGGGGGAAACCCUGACGCAGCGACGCCGCGUGAGCGAAGAAGGCCUUCGGGUUGUAAAGCUCUGUCAGAAGGGAAGAACGCAUAGAUGAUGAGUUUAUGUUGACGGUACCUUCAGAGGAAGCACCGGCUAACUCUGUGCCAGCAGCCGCGGUAA